rnacentral:rRNA from 1 species
AUGCACGCUGGCGGCGUGCCUAAUACAUGCCAGUCGAGCGAACGGACGAGAAGCUUGCUUCUCUGAUGUUAGCGGCGGACGGGUGAGUAACACGUGGAUAACCUACCUAUAAGACUGGGAUAACUUCGGGAAACCGGAGCUAAUACCGGAUAAUAUUUUGAACCGCAUGGUUCAAAGGUGAAAGACGGUCUUGCUGUCACUUAUAGAUGGAUCCGCGCUGCAUUAGCUAGUUGGUAAGGUAACGGCUUACCAAGGCAACGAUGCAUAGCCGACCUGAGAGGGUGAUCGGCCACACUGGAACUGAGACACGGUCCAGACUCCUACGGGAGGCAGCAGUAGGGAAUCUUCCGCAAUGGGCGAAAGCCUGACGGAGCAACGCCGCGUGAGUGAUGAAGGUCUUCGGAUCGUAAAACUCUGUUAUUAGGGAAGAACAUAUGUGUAAGUAACUGUGCACAUCUUGACGGUACCUAAUCAGAAAGCCACGGCUAACUACGUG